rnacentral:rRNA from 1 species
AAAAGGCGGCGUAAGCUGUCGCUAAAGGAUGGACCCGCGGUGCAUUAGCUAGUUGGUAAGGUAACGGCUUACCAAGGCGACGAUGCAUAGCCGAGUUGAGAGACUGAUCGGCCACAUUGGGACUGAGACACGGCCCAAACUUCUACGGGAGGCAGCAGUAGGGAAUCUUCCACAAUGGGCGAAAGCCUGAUGGAGCAACGCCGCGUGAGUGAAGAAGGUUUUCGGAUCGUAAAGCUCUGUUGUUGGUGAAGAAGGAUAGAGGUAGUAACUGGCCCCUAUUUGACGGUAAUCAACCAGAAAGUCACGGCUAACUACGUGCCAGCAGCCGCGGUAAUACGUAGGUGGCAAGCGUUGUCCGGAUUUAUUGGGCGUAAAGCGAGCGCAGGCGGAAAGAUAAGUCUGAUGUGAAAGCCCCCGGCUUAACCGAGGAAUUGCAUCGGAAACUGUGUUUCUUGAGUGCAGAAGAGGAGAGUGGAACUCCAUGUGUAGCGGUGGAAUGCGUAGAUAUAUGGAAGAACACCAGUGGCGAAGGCGGCUCUCUGGUCUGUAACUGACGCUGAGGCUCGAAAGCAUGGGUAGCGAACAGGAUUAGAUACCCUGGUAGUCCAUGCCGUAAACGAUGAGUGCUAAGUGUUGGGAGGUUUCCGCCUCUCA